rnacentral:rRNA from 1 species
CAGCAGCCGCGGGAAUACGGAGGGGGCUAGCGUUGUUCGGAAUUACUGGGCGUAAAGCGCACGUAGGCGGCUUGGUAAGUUAGAGGUGAAAGCCCGGAGCUCAACUCCGGAAUUGCCUUUAAGACUGCCGAGCUAGUAGGUGAGAGAGGUAAGUGGAAUUCCGAGUGUAGAGGUGAAAUUCGUAGAUAUUCGGAAGAACACCAGUGGCGAAGGCGGCUUACUGGCUCAUUCUAGACGCUGAGGUGCGAAAGCGUGGGGAGCAAACAGGAUUAGAGACCCCCGUAGUCCCUGUCUCUUAUAC